rnacentral:lncRNA from 1 species
UUUCAAAAUACCAUGGAUUAUGAAAUGGUCCUAUCAAAUAACAGAAGAUUAUACUAAUAAUUGGGAAUACAUCCCAAAACUCGGAAGACAAAUAUACGUAAAAUGGUGGGAUGUAUAUGAAAAUAAGACCAUUAAUCCCGAAAAUAUAAAACUGAAAAAAGUACCACUUGCACUCCAAAAGAAGAAGUUAAUAUGACCACCUAUAUCAAUAAAAUGAGGCAACAAAAUCCUACUGCUACGAAAGAAGAACUCAAAAGAAAAUUGUUGCAAAUGUUCGAUGAAGAAGAAGAACCAAUGUCUACAUCCACGCAGAAUGAAGAAGACUACGCACAAGAAAAUGAAGACAUAGAGUUUGGACUAUCCCAAAGGGGAUGAACAAUCAAAAUGCUAUUCAGGACGGGACGACUGCACUUCACAAGCACACGAGUCCUGCCAAAAGAUUCCUUCCUGCCGACAAAAUAGUACCUGCCAACAAAUAGUCACCUACCGACAAAAGCUUUUCCUUUUUGUCUUAUCAUCUUUUCACUAUUCACCUUUUUGUCUUGACACCUUUUUACUAUUCACCUUUUGGUCUUGUCACCUUUUACUAUUCACACCUUUCGGUCUUUUCACCGACAUCUAUGGGACCCAUCCAGCACCACCAUCAUCCUCAAACCCUGUAGCAGACUUGAAAUUUUUCUUUCACAUCCGCUGGCUAUAAAAGGGAAGGUGAGGCUCAUUUCAUAGCACCGCGAGUUUUCCCCCUCAGUCUCCAUUUCUCUGCAACCUCUUCUGCUCUGUAGCCCCUACAUU